rnacentral:lncRNA from 1 species
GAACAAUCAAAAAUUAUAGAUACGUUGGAGACGUAUCAAACACCAUAUGAUCCAACUAUAUUAACAAAGAUCAUAGUACAUCAAGAUCGUGUCAUAUCAAGAACACAAGAGGGAGAGAGAGAGAGAGAGACAGAGAGAUCAUACACAUAGAUGUGGGUACAUACCCUCAGCCCCGAGGGUGAACUACUCCUGCCUCGUCAUGGAGACUGUCGGGAUGAUGAAGAUGACCUCUGGUGAUGAUUUCCCCCUGUGACAGAGUGCCCGAAAAGGGCUCCAGAUGAGACCGCUUUGGAACAAGGGCUUGCGGCAGUGGAGCGGAAGUUCUUCUUCUGUUUUUGGGGUUUCCAGGAUUUAUACGAAUUUUGGUGUUCGUUUCACGUCAGGGGGGUGCCCGGGUGUCCCACAAGCUUGGAGGGCGCGCCCUAGGGGGGCGCCCCUAGGCUUGUGUCCUCCUCGGCCACCCUUGGAAUAUCUCUAGUGCUCCAUAUGACUCUUUUGAUCCAUACAAAAUCACCAAAAAGUUUCACUCAAUUCCGAGAACUUUCAUUUUCUGAACAAAAACAACACCACGGUAAUUCUACUUAAAACAACAUCAGUCCAGGUUAGUGUCAUUUAAAUCAUAUCAAAGUAUUGUAAACAUGGGUAAAUAGGGCAUGAAUACUUCAUAAAUCAUCGAUACAUUGAAGACGUAUCAGCAUCCCCAAGCUUAGUUCCUACUCGUCCUUGAGUAGGUAAAUGUUAAAAGAAGUAAUUUAUGAAGUGUGAAUGCUAGAAUAGUGUAUAAGUUUGAUCAAUAAUAAUUUCAAUUGCUUUUCCUAGCAUCAUAAACAACGACUCUUUAUCAUAAAACUCGUCAUGAUAAGGUAGCAAUCAAUUCACAUGCUAUGGUCCAAACAAUGCAUUGUCUUGAAA